CCUACGGGAGGCAGCAGUGGGGAAUCUUGCACAAUGGAGGAAACUCUGAUGCAGCGAUGCCGCGUGAGUGAAGAAGGCCUUUGGGUUGUAAAGCUCUUUUGUAGGGGAAGAUAAUGACUGUACCCUAAGAAUAAGGUCCGGCUAACUUCGUGCCAGCAGCCGCGGUAAUACGAAGGGACCUAGCGUAGUUCGGAAUUACUGGGCGUAAAGCGCGCGUAGGCCGUUGAGUUAGUUAAUUGUGAAAUCCCAAAGCUUAACUUUGGAACUGCAAUUAAAACUGCUCGACUAGAGUUUGAUAGAGGAAAGCGGAAUACAUAGUGUAGAGGUGAAAUUCGUAGAUAUUAUGUAGAACACCAGUUGCGAAGGCGGCUUUCUGGAUCAACACUGACGCUGAGGCGCGAAAGUAUGGGUGGCAAAGAGGAUUAGAUACCCUCGUAGUCCAUACCAUAAACGAUGAUUGCUAGAUGUUGGAAAUUUAUUUUCAGUAUCGCAGCUAACGCAUUAAGCAAUCCGCCUGGGGAGUACGACCGCAAGGUUAAAACUCAAAGGAAUUGACGG
rnacentral:rRNA from 1 species